rnacentral:rRNA from 1 species
UACGUAGGGCGCAAGCGUUGUCCGGAAUUAUUGGGCGUAAAGAGCUCGUAGGCGGCUUGUCACGUCGAUUGUGAAAGCCCGAGGCUUAACCUCGGGUCUGCAGUCGAUACGGGCUAGCUAGAGUGUGGUAGGGGAGAUCGGAAUUCCUGAUGUAGCGGUGAAAUGCGCAGAUAUCAGGAGGAACACCGGUGGCGAAGGCGGAUCUCUGGGCCAUUACUGACGCUGAGGAGCGAAAGCGUGGGGAGCAAACAGG